AUUGAACGCUGGCGGCAUGCUUUACACAUGCAAGUCGAACGGUAACAAGUUAAGCUGACGAGUGGCGAACGGGUGAGUAAUGCAUCGGAACGUGCCCGAUCGUGGGGGAUAACGCAGCGAAAGCUGCGCUAAAACCGCAUACGAUCUGAGGAUGAAAGCGGGGGACCGUAAGGCCUCGCGCGAUCGGAGCGGCCGAUGUCAGAUUAGGUAGUUGGUGGGGUAAAGGCCCACCAAGCCGACGAUCUGUAGCUGGUCUGAGAGGACGACCAGCCACACUGGGACUGAGACACGGCCCAGACUCCUACGGGAGGCAGCAGUGGGGAAUUUUGGACAAUGGGCGAAAGCCUGAUCUAGCAAUGCCGCGUGCAGGAAGAAGGCCUUCGGGUUGUAAACUGCUUUUGUACGGAGCGAAAAGGUCCUUUCUAAUACAAGGGGCUCAUGACGGUACCGUAAGAAUAAGCACCGGCUAACUACGUGCCAGCCGCCGCCGUAACAC
rnacentral:rRNA from 1 species